rnacentral:rRNA from 1 species
GAUGAACGCUAGCGGCAGGCCUAACACAUGCAAGUCGAGGGGCAGCACGUCUUCGGAUGGUGGCGACCGGCGCACGGGUGCGUAACGCGUAUGCAACCUACCUCUUACAGUGGGAUAGCCCAGAGAAAUUUGGAUUAAUACCGCAUAGUAUACAGAUUCAGCAUUGGGACUGUAUUAAACAUUUAUGGGUAAGAGAUGGGCAUGCGUUCUAUUAGUUAGUUGGAGUGGUAACGGCACCCCAAGACAGCGAUAGAUAGGGGCCCUGAGAGGGGGAUCCCCCGACACUGGUACUGAGACACGGACCAGACUCCUACGGAGGCAGCAGUGGGGAAUAUUGCACAAUGGACGAAAGUCUGAUGCAGCGAUUCUGCGUGGAGGAUGAAGCAUUACGGUGCGUAAACUCCUUUUUUGGUAGAAGACGAAUGACGGUAUACCAAGAAUAAGGGACGGCUAACUAUGUGCCAGCAGCCGCGGUAAAGUCGUACGAUC